rnacentral:rRNA from 1 species
AUUGAACGCUGGCGGCAUGCCUAACACAUGCAAGUCGAGCGGAGAGUCGGACGGGUGGGUACUGCCUAGGAUUUUGCCCGGUAGUGGGGGACCCCGUCGGGAAAGGGGCCCUAAUACCGCAUACUAUCAGAUCAGCUUAGGUUGUAUUAGCUAGUUGGUGGGGUAAAGGCCUACCAAGGCGACGAUCCGUAACCGGGCUGAGAGGAUGAUCAGUCACACUGGAACGGAGACACGGUCCAGACUCCUACGGGAGGCAGCAGUGGGGAAUAUUGGGCAAUGGGCGAAAGCCUGAUCCAGCCAUGCCGCGUGAGUGAAGAAGGUCUUCGGAUUGUAAAGCACUUUAAGUUGGGAAGCGGUACCAACAGAAUAAGCACCGGCUAACUUCGUGCCAGCCGCCGCGGUAAUUC